rnacentral:rRNA from 1 species
UACGUAGGAGGCAAGCGUUGUCCGGAAUCACUGGGCGUAAAGCGCGCGUAGGCGGAUCGCUAAGUCUGUGGUGAAAGCGCCUGGCUUAACCGGGCGAGGUCCAUGGAAACUAGCGGUCUGGAGGCCGGUAGAGGGGGGUGGAAUUCCGGGUGUAGUGGUGAAAUGCGUAGAGAUCCGGAGGAACACCAGUGGCGAAGGCGGCCCCCUGGGCCGCGCCUGACGCUGAGACGCGAAAGCGCGGGGAGCGAACGGG